AUUGAACGCUGGCGGCAGGCCUAACACAUGCAAGUCGAUCGAGCUGCGGACGGGUGAGUAAUGUAUGGGGACUGCCCGAUAGAGGGGGAUAACUACUGGAAACGGUUGCUAAUACCGCAUACUAUCGGAUAACCCAUAUGGGAUUAGCUAGUAUGGGGGGUAAAGGCUCACCGAGGCGACGAUCUCUAGCUGGUAUGAGAGUAUGAUCAGCCACACGGGGACUGAGACACGGCCCGGACUCCUACGGAGGCAGCAGUGGGGAAUAUUGCACAAUGGGCGCAAGCCUGAUGCAGCCAUGCCGCGGUGAGGAAGAAGGCCUUAGGGUUGUAAAGUACUUUCAGCGGGGAGGCGUUACGCGCAGAAGAAGCACCGGCUAACCCCGUGCCAGCAGCCGCGGUAAUUC
rnacentral:rRNA from 1 species